AUUGAACGCUGGCGGCAGGCCUAACACAUGCAAGUCGAGCGGAUGAAGGGAGCUUGCUCCUGGUUUCAGCGGCGGACGGGUGAGUAAUGCCUAGGAAUCUGCCUGGUAGUGGGGGAUAACGUCCGGAAACGGGCGCUAAUACCGCAUACGCCCUGAGGGAGAAAGUGGGGGAUCUUCGGACCUCACGCUCUCAGAUGAGCCUAGGUCGGAUUAGCUAGUUGGUGGGGUAAAGGUCUACCAAGGCGACGAUCCGUAACUGGUCUGAGAGGAUGAUCAGUCACACUGGAACUGAGACACGGUCCAGACUCCUACGGGAGGCAGCAGUGGGGAAUAUUGGACAAUGGGCGAAAGCCUGAUCCAGCCAUGCCGCGUGUGUGAAGAAGGUCUUCGGAUUGUAAAGCACUUUAAGUUGGGAGGAAGGGCAGUAAGUUAAUACCUUGCUGUUUUGACGUUACCAACAGAAUAAGCACCGGCUAACUUCGUG
rnacentral:rRNA from 1 species